AACGCACCUUGCGCCCCUUGGCAUUCCGAGGGGCACACCCGUUUGAGUGUCGUGAAAUCAUCAAAACCUUCUCUUUGACCCUCUUUGGUCGGGAAAAGGAUUUUUGGACUUGGAGGUUCCAUGCUCGCCUUCGCUUUUGAAAGCGAGCUCCUCUCAAAUGAAUUAGUGGGGUCCGCUUUGCUGGUCCUUGACGUGAUAAGAUGUUUCUACGUUUUGGAUUUAGCACUGUCCCUUGGAUGCCUGCUCCUAACCGUCUCACGGACAAUGAUGGUGCUCUGGUCACUGCCAUCUACAUUGGCGGGAGGCUGGACCCACAAAAGAAAACCUUGACCUCAAAUCGGGUGAGACUACCCGCUGAACUUAA
rnacentral:misc_RNA from 1 species